AAAUUUCAAUGUAAACUUAAAUGUUAAUCUGCAGAGGUACAGCUCUGCAGAAUAAGACUACAACCUUAAUUAGUGAAUAACCUUAUUUUAUAACCAUAGUUGGCCUAAAAGCAGCCAUCAAUUAAGAAAGCGUUCAAGCUCAACAAUUAAACUAACAUUAAAUUCAAUAAAUAAUACCAAUUCCUAAUUCAAAUACUGGAUUAUUCUACUUAUCUGUAGAAGCAAUACUGUUAAUAUGAGUAACAAGAUUUUAUAUCUCCAUACACACGUGUAUAUCAGCCCGAAUACCAACUGAUAGUUAACAACUAGACAAAUCCAUAUAUUUAAUUAAUAAUUUACCACCACAUUGUUAAUCCUACACCGGAGUGUAAUACGGAAAGAUUAAAAAAAGUAAAAGGAACUCGGCAAACCUAAACCCCGCCUGUUUACCAAAAACAUCACCUCUAGCAUCACCAGUAUUAGAGGCACUGCCUGCCCAGUGACAUUAGUUAAACGGCCGCGGUAUCCUGACCGUGCAAAGGUAGCAUAAUCAUUUGUUCCUUAAUUAGGGACUUGUAUGAAUGGCCCCACGAGGGUUUAACUGUCUCUUACUUUUAAUCAGUGAAAUUGACCUCCCCGUGAAGAGGCGGGGAUAUAAAAAUAAGACGAGAAGACCCUACGGAGCUUAAAUUAAGGCGUCCAACAAAAUUUUAAUUUAAUCCAACAGGAAUAACUAUGUUUUAACUGGACAACAGAUUUUGGUUGGGGUGACCUCGGAGUAUAACAAAACCUCCGAGCGAUUUAAAUUUAGACUAACCCGUCAAGGUGAUAUAUUUAUUGAUCCAAUCAUAUUGAUCAACGAAACAAGUUACCCUAGGGAUAACAGCGCAAUCCUAUUUGAGAGUUCAUAUCGACAAUAGGGUUUACGACCUCGAUGUUGGAUCAGGACACCCAAAUGGUGCAGCAGCUAUUAAAGGUUCGUUU
rnacentral:rRNA from 1 species